rnacentral:rRNA from 1 species
CCUACGGGGGGCUGCAGUGGGGAAUAUUGCACAAUGGGGGAAACCCUGAUGCAGCAGCGCCGCGUGAGCGAUGAAGGCCUUCGGGUCGUAAAGCUCUGUCCUAAGGGAAGAAUACUGACGGUACCUUAGGAGGAAGCCCCGGCUAACUACGUGCCAGCAGCCGCGGGAAUACGUAGGGGGCUAGCGUUAUCCGGAAUUACUGGGCGUAAAGGGUGCGUAGGCGGCCCUUCAAGUCAGGGGUGAAAGGCUACGGCGAGACCGUAGUAAGCCUUUGAAAGGGGAGGGGGGGAGUGCAGGAGAGGGGAGUGGAAUUCCCAGUGUAGCGGUGAGAUGGGUAGAUGUUGGGAGGAACAGCAGUUGCAAAGGAGGCGAUCUGGACUGUAUAGGACGUUGAGGCACGAAAGCGUGGGGAGCGAAGAGGAUUAGAUACCCCGGUAGUC